AUGUCAGGAGGAGGGAUCGCGCGGGGCCGCCUCGCGGAGGAGCGCAAGGCCUGGCGCAAGAACCACCCCCAUGGAUUCGUCGCGAAGCCGGAGACGGUGGCCGACGGGUCGGUGAAUCUCAUGAUCUGGAACUGCACCAUCCCCGGAAAGCAGGGGACUGAUUGGGAAAGUGGAUACUACCCACUUACUCUCCAUUUCAGUGAGGACUACCCUAGCAAACCUCCCAAGUGCAAGUUCCCGCAGGGUUUUUUCCACCCAAAUGUCUAUCCUUCAGGGACGGUCUGCCUCUCGAUUCUUAAUGAGGAUAGUGGUUGGAGACCUGCCAUCACUGUUAAGCAGAUUCUAGUUGGAAUACAGGAUUUGCUUGAUCAACCUAAUCCAGCUGAUCCUGCCCAGACUGAUGGUUAUCACCUCUUUAUCCAGGAUCCAGCAGAGUACAAGAGACGCAUUCGGCUGCAGGCCAAGCAGUACCCUGCUCUGGUUUGA
rnacentral:rRNA from 1 species